rnacentral:rRNA from 1 species
GAUGAACGCUGGCGGCAUGCCUAACAUAUGCCAGUCGAUCGGUAAGGCUCUUCGGAGUACACGAGAGGCGGACGGCUGAGUAACGCGUAGGAACACACCCUGCAGUGAGGGAUAAGACACCGAAAGGUGUUCUAAUACCGCAUACGGUCUUCGGAUUAAAGCAUUUAUGCGCUGAAGGAGUGGCCUGCGUCAUAUUAGAUAGUUGGUGAGGUAAUGGCUCACCAAGUCGAUGAUGUGUAGCUGGUCUGAGAGGAUGAUCAGCCAGACUGGAACUGAGACACGGUCCAGACUCCUACGGGAGGCAGCAGUGAGGAAUAUUUCACAAUGAGCGAAAGCUUGAUGGAGCAAUGCCGCGUGCAGGAUGAAGGCCCUCGGGUUGUAAACUGCUUUUAUAAGAGAAGAUUAUGACGGUAACUUAUGAAUAAGGGACGGCUAACUACGUG